rnacentral:rRNA from 1 species
CCUACGGGAGGCAGCAGUCGAGAAUCAUUCACAAUGGGGGAAACCCUGAUGGUGCGACGCCGCGUGGGGGAAUGAAGGUCUUCGGAUUGUAAACCCCUGUCAUGUGGGAGCAAAUUAAAAAGAUAGUACCACAAGAGGGAGAGACGGCUAACUCUGUGCCAGCAGCCGCGGUAAUACAGAGGUCUCAAGCGUUGUUCGGAAUCACUGGGCUUAAAGCGUGCGUAGGCUGUUUCGUAAGUCGUGUGUGAAAGGCGCGGGCUCAACCCGCGGACGGCACAUGAUACUGCGAGACUAGAGUAAUGGAGGGGGAACCGGAAUUCUCGGGGUAGCAGUGAAAUGCGUAGAUAUCGAGAGGAACACUCGUGGCAAAGGCGGGUUCCUGGACAUUAACUGUCGCUGAGGCACGAAGGCCAGGGGAGCGAAAGGGAUUAGAUACCCCAGUAGUC